rnacentral:sRNA from 1 species
ACGACUUGGCCUCCCCUGACACUUCCUUCAGCCCCUAUGAUGGAGACCUCACCACUACCUCCUCCUCCCUCUUCAUCGACAGCCUCACCACAGAAGAUGACACCAAGUUGAAUCCCUAUGCAGGAGGAGACGGUGAGUACAGAACUGCCUGCUCUUAGCGUCAGACCCAGCGCCUCUUGGACCCACCCCAGAAGAGGGUGCAGCAGUCGCCUGGGCUAUUUUUAUGAGUGCAGAGAGGGAGCAACGGCAGCCUAAGCAUCCCAGACCUCCUGUUGGGUGGGGAGGCCGGGGGGCUUCUGGGCACAGGUGCCCUAGAUCGAAGGAACAUGUCUACCCCAGACAUUUCUCAUCUCAGCCAUGAACCUCCUGUGGUUCUUCUCCUGGCUCUCUGUCCUUGAAUAUUCACUGCCCAGAAAGGAGUGGGAGGAGGGGAAGGACUGAGCCAGGGCAGGUAUAGGUGGGGCCUGUGGCCAUCCCCUCUGAUCCCCAUGGGCUCAUAGUCAGCGAGGGGUGGAGAGCAGCUUCUCUUUCCUCACUCAGACUGGCAGAGGACAUAAAAUUUUCCACU